CUCGGUGAGGACGUAUGUAAUGGUGCUGCCUAAGUCCUGUGGAAAUCUAGCCCGAUCUAGCCUGUAAUUUCAAAUCUGCCAAAUCACCUUAUCAGUUAUCACGUGUGGCCUGAAACCGAUGUCGUUGAUUGCUACUUGUAUCGGUUGUAUGUAUAACCCAUGCAGAAACACUUGACAGCCAAACAUCCAAGUAUGAGCUGCAGCCAGUUGGUGGAAGGUGUGAACAAGUCAGCUGUUGUAUUCAGUUUGUGAGGCAUCCCAUGCAGAAACCAGAAAAGAUUCACAAAAAGGUAAAAUUUUGUCCGCCAGGUGGUGGAGUGUGUUCAUGAGCGACGAAGCCGCCAUAUGCAGAUGCUUUUGAGACAGCGUACGAGAAUGUGUUGCUGCUUAAUGACAGUGUUCUUCGCUUUUAGCCUUUUACAUUUUAAAAUAUGUUUGUAAGCCAAGCGAUUCGAAAGUGAAGAAUUCUAAAGCAUCAUGUCGGUAGUUUUUGCUUUUCUCCACGUUAUCGCUGCCGCGUUAUGAAGAUGCGUCUUUGAGAGGGUUCCUACUUAGCUGUUUGCCGUUCAUAGUUAGAAAAUAAAAGAAUUAUGGCAAAUAAUAAAUAAGUUUACGAGA